CCUUCCUCUCUUAAAAAAUCAAUAAAAUACAUUUUAUUUUUUUAAAAAAGAUGAUUUCCCCUGCCCGCUUGUGGGUAGCAUGUCCUGCUGUCCAUGGAGGCGGCCGCUUUAGCACAGCCCCUGAGCGUGGCGCCGAGGAGCGUGCCCAGGCAGGGUGGUGUGCAGUGCCCACCCCACUGACAACCCCGCUGGCAUGCAGGGGCUCAGACAUGGAUUUUUCUUUUUCUUCUGAGAUUUGGAGACACAAUGAGAUCAUCUUGGCUUUGGCUGUGCUGGGGACCCUGCCGCCAGACCAGAGAACAGUGCAGGAAGCAGUGUGUGGGAGCGCAUCUUGGAAGUUGUGCUGCCGACGCUGAGCCAUCCGUCAGGGCCGAGGGAGAAGCAGCCGGUUCAGAACCAUAGCAGAACCAGAACUGGAUCUGGAGCCACCCAGUCAUCUUACCUGGAAACGGUUGAAGUUCCUGGUUUCCUCCCGUCCUUUCUGCGGGGCCUUGAUGUGUCUGCUUCCGUGCGAUCGGGCUCUCCUACCGUAAAUACACGCCUGUGGCUCCCCUUUU